CCUACGGGAGGCAGCAGUGGGGAAUAUUGGGCCAUGGAGGCAACUCUGACCCAGCAACGCCGCGUUAAUGAUGAAGGUCUUCGGAUUGUAAAGUUCUGUGAUGGGGGAUGAACACAAUGACGGUACCCCAAUAGCAAGCCACGGCUAACUACGUGCCAGCAGCCGCGGUAAUACGUAGGUGGCAAGCGUUCUCCGGAAUGACUGGGCGUAAAGGGUGCGUAGUUGGUUUAGUAAGUUGGCGGUGUAAGUCCGGGGCUAAACCUCGGCGCUACCGCCAAAACUAUUAGACUAGAGUGCAGGGGGGGUAAGUGGAAGUCCGGGUGUAGCGGUGGAAUGCAUAGAUAUUAGGAAGAACAUC
rnacentral:rRNA from 1 species